CUCAAAAUCACUUCUUUAGAAGCCGUCACAAUACCAAGCAAGAUGUUAGAACCUUGUAUCCAGCUCAAUUUGCUUUAAUUGAAAGGCUAAUUUAAUCUGAAUUUCUAUUAAUAUUGUAGAAGGUAUAGUGUUGAGUGGUUUGAUGCCCUGAUAAUCUAUAAUUGUAUCUUUUCAAUCCAAGCAAUUGUUUGAACUUCGUAUGUGAGAGAUAUCUACUUUUGAUUCUUUGCUUUAUAUAUUUUUUGACAAAAAAGGGGGCCAAAUUGUUUGUUUAGAGGAACAACAGAGUAAGGAAAUGUAUUUAGGGUCGAGAAUAUGUGCUAAGAAAAAGAAGAAAGACAAUGAAAGGAGAAAAAAAUUGAGAGGAACUCUUAUCACAUCUGUAUGACUUUCAAGUGUCAACUUUGUUGUAGGUGUAAAAUUCCGAACAAAGGGCAUCAGAUCUAUUUUCGACGACCACAAUUUCAACAUGAAGGAAAACCAAAUUCUUAUCAAGAUGGUGUAGCUGGUAAAGUUAUUCAAAAAGGAAAAGGUAAUCCUGUUCGAGAAAUUAAUACACAGAUGAGCAGGGGAGACUAGUUAAUCAACAUGCUGUAGCAGGUAUGGGAGGAACUGCAUUUCCAUUCACACAUGCCCACAUUGAGUGAGAGAGAGAGAGAGAGAGAGCAUUAGCAUAAUGGUGGUAAACUCAUUUAUGAUAUAAAAAAGCUCACAAUUUCAGUUUUUAUUUAGCUGUUUUAAGUUAAAACUUCCUUGGUCUAGUUACUUCAAUUCACAUUUGUUGGUGUUUUCUUUUGCGAAAUUAGUGAUAUGAAUGUGUCAAGCCAUAACAAUGGUUUUGUUUUGUUU